AUCCAGACUCCUACGGGAGGCAGCAGUGAGGAAUAUUGGUCAAUGGGCGAGAGCCUGAACCAGCCAAGUCGCGUGAGGGAUGACUGCCCUAUGGGUUGUAAACCUCUUUUGUAUGGGGGGAAUAAGCUUUACGAGUAGAGUGAUGACAGUACCAUACGAAUAAGCAUCGGCUAACUCCGUGCCAGCAGCCGCGGUAAUACGGAGGAUGCGAGCGUUAUCCGGAUUUAUUGGGUUUAAAGGGUGCGUAGGCGGGCUUUUAAGUCAGCGGUAAAAAUUCGGGGCUCAACCCCGUCCGGCCGUUGAAACUGGGGGCCUUGAGUGGGCGAGAAGAAGGCGGAAUGCGUGGUGUAGCGGUGAAAUGCAUAGAUAUCACGCAGAACCCCGAUUGCGAAGGCAGCCUUCCGGCGCCCUACUGACGCUGAGGCACGAAAGUGCGGGGAUCGAACAGGAUUAGAUACCCCAGUA
rnacentral:rRNA from 1 species